rnacentral:rRNA from 1 species
GACGAACGCUGGCGGCGUGCUUAACACAUGCAAGUCGAACGGAAAGGCCCUGCUUUUGUGGGGUGCUCGAGUGGCGAACGGGUGAGUAACACGAGAGUAACCUGCCCUUGACUCUGGGAUAACUUAAGGACACGGGGGCUAAUACCGUAUAGGAGCUCCUGCUGCAUGGUGGGGGUGGGAAAGUGUCGGCGGUUGGGGAUGGACGCGCGGCUUAUCAGCUUGUUGGUGGGGUAGUGGCUUACCAAGGCUUCGACGGGUAGCCGGCCUGAGAGGGUGACCGGCCACAUUGGGACUGAGAUACGGCCCAGACUCCUACGGGAGGCAGCAGUGGGGAAUAUUGCACAAUGGGCGGAAGCCUGAUGCAGCAACGCCGCGUGCGGGAUGACGGCCUUCGGGUUGUAAACCGCUUUCGCCUGUGACGAAGCGUGAGUGACGGUAAUGGGUAAAGAAGCACCGGCUAACUACGUG